GAUGAAGAACGCAGCGAAAUGCGAUAAGUAAUGUGAAUUGCAGAAUUCAGUGAAUCAUCGAAUCUUUGAACGCACAUUGCGCCCGCCAGUAUUCUGGCGGGCAUCCCUGUUCGAGCGUCAUUUCAACCCUCAAGCCCAGCUUGGUGUUGGGGAUCGGCACAGGCGCCCUCGGGCGCCAGCCGUCCCCUAAAUCUAGUGGCGGUCCCGCUGCAGCCUCCUCUGCGUAGUAGUUUUCUCCUCGCAAGGGCAGCUCGGUGGCGACCUCGCCGUAAAACCCCCAACUUCUGAAAGGUUGACCUCGAAUCAGGUAGGAAUACCCGCUGAACUUAAGCAUAUCAAUAAGCGGAGGA
rnacentral:misc_RNA from 1 species